rnacentral:ncRNA from 1 species
AGGAAACUGUGAAGAUCGCAGCUCUUGGCAGAAAUGCUGAGAUGAGAAUCGGGUUAAUUGUCGGGAAGCCCUGAGUAAAUCGAAGGGUAAUCCGCAGCCAAGCUUUCUAUCGAAAGAUAGAUCGAAGGUUCAGAGACUAUACGCCCGAAACCUAAAGUUGAAAGACAAUGGUUGUGAGAUAGUCCAAGCCUUUUGGUAACAGAAGG